rnacentral:rRNA from 1 species
GAUGGACGCUGGCGGUAUGCCUAACACAUGCAAGUUGAACGAAGGUUUUUCCUUAGUAGCGGACGGGUGAGUAAUACGUGAGAAUCUACCUUUNGGAGGGGAAUAACAGUUGGAAACGACUGCUAAUGCCCCAUAUGCUGUAAAGUGAAACGAUUUAUCGCCUAAAGAUGAGCUCGCGCCUGAUUAGCUUGUUGGUAGGGUAAUAGCCUACCAAGGCGACGAUCAGUAGCUGAUUUGAGAGGAUGAUCAGCCACACUGGAACUGAGACACGGUCCAGACUUCUACGGAAGGCAGCAGUGGGGAAUUUUCCGCAAUGGGCGAAAGCCUGACGGAGCAAUACCGCGUGAGGGAUGAAUGCCUAUGGGUUGUAAACCUCUUUUAUUAGGGAAGAAUUCUGACGGUACCUAAUGAAUAAGCAUCGGCUAACUCCGUGCCAGCAGCCGCGGUAAUACGGGGGAUGCAAGCGUUAUUCGGAAUUAUUGGGCGU